rnacentral:lncRNA from 1 species
UUGGUAGUAGUAAGAAACAAAUUCCAGUUUCGGCACGAGCUUGUACUGCGGGAGCACCACAAGGCCUGCCGCAGGAGUUACAUGUAACGCCCACGAUGCGGCUAUAUCUCCCACGUGUCGAGGCACGACUUAGAGGCAUAACCGCAUUGUGGUUUUGUCGCAAGAAGGGUCAUCUUCACGCAAUCCCAUGUAAUGAACAAGAAUGGGAUAAAGAGUUGGCUUACAAUCGCCACUUCACACAAUUCAUAAAUAAAUCAUACAUCAUUCAAGAUACACACAUAGGUCCGACUACGGAACCAAGAUAAAAGAAGACAACCCAACUGCUAGAUCCCUGAUCGUCCCAACUGGGCUCCACUACUGAUCAACCAGAAAAGAACAACACAACGAACAAGAUCUUCAUCGAGCUCCCACUUGAGCUCAGUAGCGUCAUCGGCACUGGUCUCAUCGGCACCUGCAACUGUUUGGGAAGUAUCUGUGAGUCACGAGGACUCAGCAAUCUCACACCCGCGAGAUCAAGACUAUUUAAGCUUAAGGAAAGGAUGGGGUAAUGAGGUGGAGCUGCAGCAAGCACUAGCAUAUAUGGUGGCUAACAUACGCAAAUAAGAGCGAGAAGAGAAGCAACGGAACGGUCAUGAUCUAGCAAUGAUCAAGAAGUGAUCCUGAACCCCUACUUACGUCAAACAUAACCCAGAAACCGUGUUCACCUCCCGGACUCCGCCGAGAAGAGACCAUCACGGCUACACACGCGGUUGAUGCGUUUUAAUUAAGGUCAAGUGUCAAAUUCUCUACAACCGGAUAUUAACAAAUUCCCAUCUGCCACAUAACCACGGGCACGGCUUUCGAAAGAUAAUACCCUGCAGGGGUGUCCCAACUUAGCCCAUCAUAAGCUCUCACGGUCAACGAAGGAUAAACCUUCUCCCAGGAAGACCCGAUCAGUCUCGGAAUCCCGGUUUACAAGACAUUUCGACAAUGGUAAAACAAGACCAGCAAAGCCGCCCGAAUGUGCCGAUAAAUCCCGAUAGGAGCUGCACAUAUCUCGUUCUCAGGGCACACCGGAUGAACACUACGUACAACUAAAACCAGACCUCGAGUUUCCCCGAGGUGGCGCUGCAAGUGGCUCUAGUUUGGACCAGCACUCAGAGGAACACUGGCCCGGGGUUUUAAAUAAAGAUGACCCUUGAGUCUGCAGAACCCAAGGGAAAAAGGCUUAGGUAGGCAAAUGCUAAAACCAAGGUUGAGCCUUGCUGGAGGAGUUUUAUUCAAAGCGAACUGUCAAGGGGGUCCCAUAAAUCACCCAACCGCGUAAGGAACGCAAAAUCAAGGAACAUAACACCGGUAUGACGGAAACUAGGGCGGCAAGAGUGGAACAAAACACCAGGCAUAAGGCUGAGCCUUCCACCCUUUACCAAAUAUAUAGAUGCAUUAAUUAAGAUAAGAGAUAUUGUGAUAUCCCAACAUAAAUAGAAUCCAACAUGGAGCAAUCUUCAUCUUCACCUGCAUCUAGCAAUGCUAUAAGAGGGGCUGAGCAAAAGCGGUAACAUAGCCAAACAACGGUUUGCUAGGAAGGGUGACAAGGUUAGAGGUUCAUGGCAAUUUGGGAGGCUUGAAGAGCAAGUGAAUAGGUAACGCGGCAUAGCAAUAGAGCGAACGGCUAGCAAGCAAAGAUAGAAGUGAUUUUGAGGGUAUGGUCAUCUUGCCUGAGAUCCCGCAAGGAAGAAGAACGAGUCCAUGAAGAAGAC